CAUUUUUACGCCUGAAGUGAAACGCAAUGAGGAUGUGGCUGGGCCUGAGUUUAUUGCACGUUCCUGGUCCCUUGAGGUGUGAUGAAGUUGAGUUUACUGAUCAAAAUUGCCUUAUUCUGCUCUUUCCAAUACCAGUUUGUAUCAGUAACCAAAUCAAAGUGGGCUGUGACAGACAGAAGGAUUAUUCAACUAAGAGGACUCGUGA